UACGUAGGUGGCAAGCGUUGUCCGGAUUUACUGGGCGUAAAGAGCGCGCAGGCGGUCGUUCAAGUCGCGUGUGAAAGCCCCCGGCUCAACUGGGGAGGGUCACGCGAUACUGAUCGACUCGAAGGCAGGAGAGGGUAGUGGAAUUCCCGGUGUAGUGGUGAAAUGCGUAGAGAUCAGGAAGAACACCCGUGGCGCAAGCGGCCACCUGGCCAAGAGCUGACGCUGAGGCACGAGAGCGUGGGGAGCGAACCGG
rnacentral:rRNA from 1 species